rnacentral:rRNA from 1 species
AGUGAACGCUGGCGGCGUGCUUAACACAUGCAAGUCGAACGAGAACGGCUCUAGCUUGCUAGAGUGUCAGCUAAGUGGCGGACGGGUGAGUAAUGUAUAGCUAACGUGCCCCUUGGAGAGGGAUAACAGUUGGAAACGACUGCUAAUACCUCAUACUCCUUCUGUAUUAAUUACAGUUGGGAAAUGUUUUUUCGCCAAGGGAUCGGGCUAUAUGGUAUCAGGUAGUUGGUGGGGUAAGAGCCCACCAAGCCAAUGACGCCUAGCUGGUCUGAGAGGAUGAUCAGCCACACUGGAACUGAGACACGGUCCAGACUCCUACGGGAGGCAGCAGUGGGGAAUAUUGCACAAUGGAGGAAACUCUGAUGCAGCAACGCCGCGUGGAGGAUGACGCAUUUCGGUGUGUAAACUCCUUUUAUAUGGGAAGAUAAUGACGGUACCAUAUGAAUAAGCACCGGCUAACUCCGUGCCAGCAGCCGCGGUAAUACGGAGGGUGCAAGCGUUACUCGGAAUCACUGGGCGUAAAGCGCGCGCAGGCGGCCAGAUAAGUUGGAUGUGAAAGCCUACGGCUCAACCGUAGAACUGCAUCCAAAACUGUCGGGCUAGAGUCUGGGAGGGGAAGAUGGAAUUAGUUGUGUAGGGGUAAAAUCCGUAGAGAUAACUAGGAAUACCAAAAGCGAAGGCGAUCUUCUGGAACAGUACUGACGCUGAGCGCAAAGCGUGGGGGAGCAAACAGGAUUAGAUACCCUGGUAGUCCACGCCCUAAACGAUGAAUGUUAGUCGUCCGGAGUCCUAGUGACUUCGGUGAUGCAG